rnacentral:rRNA from 1 species
UACGAAGGGGGCUAGCGUUGCUCGGAAUUACUGGGCGUAAAGCGCACGUAGGCGGCUUUCUAAGUCGGGGGUGAAAUCCUGGAGCUCAACUCCAGAACUGCCUUCGAUACUGGCGAUCUUGAGUCCGGAAGAGGUGAGUGGAACUCCUAGUGUAGAGGUGGAAUUCGUAGAUAUUAGGAAGAACACCAGUGGCGAAGGCGGCUCACUGGUCCGGUACUGACGCUGAGGUGCGAAAAGCGUGGGGAGCAAACAGG